rnacentral:rRNA from 1 species
GUUCGGUUAAGUCCGCUAACGAGCGCCAACCCUCGUCGUAUGUUAUAUGUGUCAUACGAGACUGCCGGUAAAAGCCGGAGGAAGGUGAGGAUGAUGUCAAGUCAGCAUGACCUUUAUAUCCAGGGCUACACACACGCUACAAUGGUCUGUACAAUGGGUAGCCAAGCCGCGAGGCGGAGCCAAUCCUGAAAGCAGGCCUCAGUUCAGAUUGCAGUCUGCAACUCGACUGCAUGAAGCCGGAGUUGCUAGUAACCGCAGGUCAGCAAUACUGCGGUGAAUACGUUCCCGGGUCUU